UACGUAGGGUGCAAGCGUUAAUCGGAAUUACUGGGCGUAAAGCGUGCGCAGGCGGUGAUGUAAGACAGGUGUGAAAUCCCCGGGCUUAACCUGGGAACUGCAUUUGUGACUGCAUCGCUGGAGUGCGGCAGAGGGGGAUGGAAUUCCGCGUGUAGCAGUGAAAUGCGUAGAUAUGCGGAGGAACACCGAUGGCGAAGGCAAUCCCCUGGGCCUGCACUGACGCUCAUGCACGAAAGCGUGGGGAGCAAA
rnacentral:rRNA from 1 species